AAGUCAGUGGCGGACGGGUGAGUAACGCGUGAGUAACCUGCCCUUCAGAGGGGGAUGACGUCUGGAAACGGACGCUAAUACCGCAUGACAUAUUUCCAUCGCAUGGUGGAGAUAUCAAAGGAGCAAUCCGCUGAAGGAUGGACUCGCGUCCGAUUAGAUAGUUGGCGGGGUAACGGCCCACCAAGUCGACGAUCGGUAGCCGGACUGAGAGGUUGAACGGCCACAUUGGGACUGAGACACGGCCCAGACUCCUACGGGAGGCAGCAGUGGGGGAUAUUGCACAAUGGGCGAAAGCCUGAUGCAGCAACGCCGCGUGAGGGAAAACGGUUUUCGGAUUGUAAACCUCUGUUCUAAGUGACGAACAAAUGACGGUAGCUUAGGAGAAAGCCCCGGCUAACUACGUGCCAGCAGCCGCGGUAAUACGUAGGGGGCAAGCGUUGUCCGGAAUUACUGGGUGUAAAGGGAGCGCAGGCGGAGAAGCAAGUCAGUGGUGAAAACGAUGGGCUUAACUCAUCGACUGCCAUUGAAACUGUUUCCCUUGAGUGAAGUAGAGGCAGGCGGAAUUCCGAGUGUAGCGGUGAAAUGCGUAGAUAUUCGGAGGAACACCAGUGGCGAAGGCGGCCUGCUGGGCUUUAACUGACGCUGAGGCUCGAAAGUGUGGGGAGCAAACAGGAUUAGAUACCCUGGUAGUCCACACUGUAACGAUGAUUGCUAGGUGUGGGGGGUCUGACCCCUUCCGUGCCGGAGUUAACGCAAUAAGCAAUCCACCUGGGGAGUACGGCCGCAAGGUUGAAACUCAAAGGAAUUGACGGGGGCCCGCACAAGCAGUGGAUUAUGUGGUUUAAUUCGACGCAACGCGAAGAACCUUACCAGGUCUUGACAUCCAACGAAUCCUUAAGAGAUUAGGGAGUGCCUUUCGGGGAACGUUGAGACAGGUGGUGCAUGGUUGUCGUCAGCUCGUGUCGUGAGAUGUUGGGUCAAGUCCCGCAACGAGCGCAACCCCUAUCUUUAGUAGCCAGCGGUUUGGCCGGGCACUCUAGAGAGACUGCCAGGGAUAACCUGGAGGAAGGUGGGGAUGACGUCAAAUCAUCAUGCCCCUUAUGAGCAGGGCUACACACGUGCUACAAUGGCGUAAACAAAGGGAGGCAGAACCGCGAGGUCGAGCAAAUCCCAAAAAUAACGUCUCAGUUCGGAUUGUAGUCUGCAACUCGACUACAUGAAGCUGGAAUCGCUAGUAAUCGCGAAUCAGAAUGUCGCGGUGAAUACGUUCCCGGGUCUUGCACACACCGCCCGUCA
rnacentral:rRNA from 1 species